GGGUUGUGAGGUUAAGCGACUAAGCGUACACGGUGGAUGCCCUGGCAGUCAGAGGCGAUGAAGGACGUGCUAAUCUGCGAUAAGCGUCGGUAAGGUGAUAUGAACCGUUAUAACCGGCGAUUUCCGAAUGGGGAAACCCAGUGUGUUUCGACACACUAUCAUUAACUGAAUCCAUAGGUUAAUGAGGCGAACCGGGGGAACUGAAACAUCUAAGUACCCCGAGGAAAAGAAAUCAACCGAGAUUCCCCCAGUAGCGGCGAGCGAACGGGGAGCAGCCCAGAGCCUGAAUCAGUGUGUGUGUUAGUGGAAGCGUCUGGAAAGGCGCGCGAUACAGGGUGACAGCCCCGUACACAAAAAUGCACAUGCUGUGAGCUCGAUGAGUAGGGCGGGACACGUGGUAUCCUGUCUGAAUAUGGGGGGACCAUCCUCCAAGGCUAAAUACUCCUGACUGACCGAUAGUGAACCAGUACCGUGAGGGAAAGGCGAAAAGAACCCCGGCGAGGGGAGUGAAAAAGAACCUGAAACCGUGUACGUACAAGCAGUGGGAGCACGCUUAGGCGUGUGACUGCGUACCUUUUGUAUAAUGGGUCAGCGACUUAUAUUCUGUAGCAAGGUUAACCGAAUAGGGGAGCCGAAGGGAAACCGAGUCUUAACUGGGCGUUAAGUUGCAGGGUAUAGACCCGAAACCCGGUGAUCUAGCCAUGGGCAGGUUGAAGGUUGGGUAACACUAACUGGAGGACCGAACCGACUAAUGUUGAAAAAUUAGCGGAUGACUUGUGGCUGGGGGUGAAAGGCCAAUCAAACCGGGAGAUAGCUGGUUCUCCCCGAAAGCUAUUUAGGUAGCGCCUCGUGAAUUCAUCUCCGGGGGUAGAGCACUGUUUCGGCAAGGGGGUCAUCCCGACUUACCAACCCGAUGCAAACUGCGAAUACCGGAGAAUGUUAUCACGGGAGACACACGGCGGGUGCUAACGUCCGUCGUGAAGAGGGAAACAACCCAGACCGCCAGCUAAGGUCCCAAAGUCAUGGUUAAGUGGGAAACGAUGUGGGAAGGCCCAGACAGCCAGGAUGUUGGCUUAGAAGCAGCCAUCAUUUAAAGAAAGCGUAAUAGCUCACUGGUCGAGUCGGCCUGCGCGGAAGAUGUAACGGGGCUAAACCAUGCACCGAAGCUGCGGCAGCGACACUAUGUGUUGUUGGGUAGGGGAGCGUUCUGUAAGCCUGUGAAGGUGUACUGUGAGGUAUGCUGGAGGUAUCAGAAGUGCGAAUGCUGACAUAAGUAACGAUAAAGCGGGUGAAAAGCCCGCUCGCCGGAAGACCAAGGGUUCCUGUCCAACGUUAAUCGGGGCAGGGUGAGUCGACCCCUAAGGCGAGGCCGAAAGGCGUAGUCGAUGGGAAACAGGUUAAUAUUCCUGUACUUGGUGUUACUGCGAAGGGGGGACGGAGAAGGCUAUGUUGGCCGGGCGACGGUUGUCCCGGUUUAAGCGUGUAGGCUGGUUUUCCAGGCAAAUCCGGAAAAUCAAGGCUGAGGCGUGAUGACGAGGCACUACGGUGCUGAAGCAACAAAUGCCCUGCUUCCAGGAAAAGCCUCUAAGCAUCAGGUAACAUCAAAUCGUACCCCAAACCGACACAGGUGGUCAGGUAGAGAAUACCAAGGCGCUUGAGAGAACUCGGGUGAAGGAACUAGGCAAAAUGGUGCCGUAACUUCGGGAGAAGGCACGCUGAUAUGUAGGUGAAGUCCCUUGCGGAUGGAGCUGAAAUCAGUCGAAGAUACCAGCUGGCUGCAACUGUUUAUUAAAAACACAGCACUGUGCAAACACGAAAGUGGACGUAUACGGUGUGACGCCUGCCCGGUGCCGGAAGGUUAAUUGAUGGGGUCAGCGCAAGCGAAGCUCUUGAUCGAAGCCCCGGUAAACGGCGGCCGUAACUAUAACGGUCCUAAGGUAGCGAAAUUCCUUGUCGGGUAAGUUCCGACCUGCACGAAUGGCGUAAUGAUGGCCAGGCUGUCUCCACCCGAGACUCAGUGAAAUUGAACUCGCUGUGAAGAUGCAGUGUACCCGCGGCAAGACGGAAAGACCCCGUGAACCUUUACUAUAGCUUGACACUGAACAUUGAGCCUUGAUGUGUAGGAUAGGUGGGAGGCUUUGAAGUGUGGACGCCAGUCUGCAUGGAGCCGACCUUGAAAUACCACCCUUUAAUGUUUGAUGUUCUAACGUGGACCCGUGAUCCGGGUUGCGGACAGUGUCUGGUGGGUAGUUUGACUGGGGCGGUCUCCUCCUAAAGAGUAACGGAGGAGCACGAAGGUUGGCUAAUCCUGGUCGGACAUCAGGAGGUUAGUGCAAUGGCAUAAGCCAGCUUGACUGCGAGCGUGACGGCGCGAGCAGGUGCGAAAGCAGGUCAUAGUGAUCCGGUGGUUCUGAAUGGAAGGGCCAUCGCUCAACGGAUAAAAGGUACUCCGGGGAUAACAGGCUGAUACCGCCCAAGAGUUCAUAUCGACGGCGGUGUUUGGCACCUCGAUGUCGGCUCAUCACAUCCUGGGGCUGAAGUAGGUCCCAAGGGUAUGGCUGUUCGCCAUUUAAAGUGGUACGCGAGCUGGGUUUAGAACGUCGUGAGACAGUUCGGUCCCUAUCUGCCGUGGGCGCUGGAGAACUGAGGGGGGCUGCUCCUAGUACGAGAGGACCGGAGUGGACGCAUCACUGGUGUUCGGGUUGUCAUGCCAAUGGCACUGCCCGGUAGCUAAAUGCGGAAGAGAUAAGUGCUGAAAGCAUCUAAGCACGAAACUUGCCCCGAGAUGAGUUCUCCCUGACCCUUUAAGGGUCCUGAAGGAACGUUGAAGACGACGACGUUGAUAGGCCGGGUGUGUAAGCGCAGCGAUGCGUUGAGCUAACCGGUACUAAUGAACCGUGAGGCUUAACCUUACAACGCCGAAGCUGUU
rnacentral:rRNA from 1 species